rnacentral:lncRNA from 1 species
CAGAAUAACGCAGCAAAUUCCCAGAAGCAUCCUUCCCGGAGGAGUGAACUGAAGAGGUUCUACACCAUUGGCAGCCAAGACUGUUAAGCUAAAAUGUGGCGGAAAUAAACACGCACAGUCCUGAAGUGGAGUACUAGUCAAGUCAAAUGCCACUCGUGUUGGUGACAGACCCCCCCCAUCUGAAGUGGAAUCUUUGUUGUGACUGGUUUUAUUUGUUUGAAGAGAAAGGUCUCCGUCUCAAUAAAGAAUGAAACAUCAAUAAGGAAUAAUUUAAACAUAACUAACACAGAAACUGGAUUGAAAAUUGAAGACCCAUUGGCAAACUACAGUACAUUGAAACAUUCCCCUCAGUGAUUUGAAGACAGAUGUAACUGACUUGGAAUUCUGGCUUUGCCACUGAUUAGAUUUUGUACCUGGUGAAGAAGUCAUUUCAUACCUCUCAAUGCCCAUUUCCUCACGUUCAGAGUGGGAAUAACAGUCACGUCAUAAGAUUGUAUGAAAAUUAUAUGAGAGAUGAGUUCCCGUUUCUAGGACAUGUACUAGGGAAAAGCUUGUUUCCUUCUUGAGCAGUCUAUUCUAGGAAGUAAAAACUCAUAGCCCUUUUGUAUCAGUUAGCUACUGAUGCAUAACAAACCAACUCAAAAGCCAGUAGCUUCAAUGAACAACCCUUUUAAAAACAAUAAUAGUAACCAUUUAUUAAGCUAGCUCACAAUCCUUAGAGUUGGCAACUUAGGUAACACUGAGUUGGGUGAUUAUUCAGGCCUCAUCUUGGCUCCCCUGCUUCAUAUGCUCCUAGAGUUGGCUCAAUCAAAAGAAUUGAUUUUUAUGAAUGUUUACAUAUUUUAGCCCUAUUCAAAAUAACGAUAUUUGAAAUAUUUAACAGCCACUUUGGCAGAAGCUUGGACCAAUCAGGUGCAAUUGCAGGGCUGGAUGCCCUCUGCCCAGUGGUUGUUAAUCCCUAGGUUCCUGGGUCAUCCAUUGGUCUGAGGGGUCAAAUGGGGGACCCUGGACAGUGAGGGAGAGGGCUAUCUAGAGGGAUGGUGCAGUAGCUGUUUAUCAACUAAUACAAAAGUGUUUCUGAUACAUAUUGGCUGAAUGUUAGCCCAGUCCCAUACUCAUUAUAAUCUUUCCAAAAACAAACAAACAAGCAAACAAAAAACAAAAAAGUAGUUCCCGUUGUGGCUCAGCAGUUAAUGAACCUGACUAGUAUCCAUGAGGAUGCAGGUUCGAUCCCUGGCCUUGCUCAGCAGGUUAAGGAUCUGACAUUCCCAUGAGCUGUGGUGUAAGUCGCGGGCACAGCUCGGAUCCCAUGUUGCUGUGGCUCUGGUGUAGGCCAGCAGCUAUAGCUCCAGUUGGACCCCUAGCCUGGGACCCUCCAUAUGCUGCAAGUGCGGCCCUAAAAAGACAAUAAUAAUAAUAGUAAUCUUCUUUCUGUCCAUGUUGCACCAAGUCUCUUGAUAUCUUAUCACUAACAUACUUUACAUUGCAAUUAGCACUGCUGCCCCCUACAUCUUGGCGUUAAAAAUACUGCUUCUACCAACAUGUCUCUCCAACUGUCCCCUCCCAAAUUCCAAUAAACCUACAUCAAGAACAAACACAGAGUUUAUAAAUACCUCUUAGAAAUAGGGCAAUAAGGAGUUCCCGUCGUGACGGAGUGGUUAACGAAUCUGACGAGGAAGCAUGAGGUUGCAGGUUUGGUCCCUGGCCUUGCUCAGUGGGUUAAGGAUCCAGCAUUGCCAUGAGCUGUGGUGUAGGUCGCAGACACACCUCGGAUCCCAUGUUGCUAGGGCUCUGGUGUAGGCUGGCAUCUAUAGCUCCAGUUGGACCCCUAGCCUGGGAAGCUCCAUAUGGUAAGGGAGCAGCCCUAGAAAAUGCAAAAGACAAAACAAAAGAAAUAGGGCAAUGAUUCUUAAUUGGGGAAAAGAUGGCAGUAACUGGUAGCUUGGAAAAACAUACUGAGUUUUCCAAUAUUGUAACAAUCGUAUUACAAAAAGCUCAAUUAUGUUUAUCUUCUACCAUAAUAGAAAAUAAGAGUAAAGUUGGUAGAGAUUUGCCCGAAUACCAUUCUCAAAGUCUGAAGAGAGGCAUGCCCCAUUUCAGAAGGCAUCCUUGAUUAAAAACAUUGAGAAAUAUGAAACUCAACAUGAAACUAAAUGUAAUGUGGAGAAAGCCUGAAUCUCUGGGAUGGAAGUCAGGAGUUUGUAUUUUAAGCAAAUAAUUCUUACUGGCAUUAAAGUUGAAAUCUCAUCAGCUACCAAUGGUCUGCUGUAUUGAGGAGAUACAGUUGUAAAAGGGCACUAACCUGAUUAACAGGGAUGUCAGCUUACUAAGGCAAGUUUGAGAUAGCCACUGGAUACAGAACACUGUCCCAUAAGCUGGCUCGGGUCUUUCUUCUAAGCUCUUUUUGUAUAACCCCAACUGUAAACCUGCUCUGAUGGCACUGAUGCUCCAAGAGAUCAUUUUACCUGUUUGGGAGUUGUGUACAGCUGGCCAAGGUUGAUCAUGGCAGGCAUCCAGAGGUAGUUUCUAACCUUGACAGAUAACCUGUAGAGCUCUGUUGAAGUCCCUGCAUGUCCUGGAAGCCCCAUCUGCUGAGCAGGGCUGUCAGCCUAAGUGGCCUGGUCUCCAGAUGGUAUUAAAGUCACUGGCUACUUGCUAAGCAUCAUGGCAAGUAGAUCCCACCCUCUGAUCAAACCAUUCUCUCCAGCCCAUCUCAUUUUUAUUCGAUUUGCUGCAACACAGUUAGGAACUUUUUUGUUUUACCUGUCAUGAGGUUAUUUUGUUUUCACACUCUCUGUAUUUCAUUAGGUGCAGGAAAAAGAAACCAGAGGGAAUUUGGUCUUUUAUAAAUGCUUUCUAUGCAUGUAGAGAUAUCUGUAAUGUUGAAUUUAUUUAGAUUCAAGACAGGUGGAUCAGAUACUUCAGGUGAAUUCCUCGGAUUUUAAAAAGAUUACUCAUGGUUUCACCAGAUGCUGUGCAAUUUCAUAAGCACUGGAUGCUUUAGAAAGACACUGACUCAAAAAGGAGAGAUACUUAGUUUGAUGCCAUGACUUUUGUUUGGUGCUUACAUCAGUGAGGAAAAAAAGUUAAAAUACAUUUUUUAUCCUCAUCUGAAUACAUUUUUUAGCCUCAUCUGUUGACAGGGUUUUCUGUGAGCUGACUGCCAGAUAAUUAACCAAGUAAAGAGUUAUUUCUCUGAAUUUGGUCUGCCAAAAUUCAUUGUAACACCAAAUACAGAUGCUGUUAAAAUAGGUAACGUUGGGAAACUCUUGUUAGCCUGUCAAAACAGUAAAUAUAUUACAUAAUUUGAAAGCCAUCUCUUAUUAUGCAUCCCUUCAAAACACAAGUAUUCAGGGAGAGUUGAUGAUAAUAAUGAAAAUCAAAGUAAAGGUAAUGAAAACAAAAUAAUUUCUUAAAAUAAUUUUUGUGACUUUCCAUUCCAGUUGCUAAUAAAUACAGAAUGUAUUUAAUUAAAAUGUAAAUGCAAUUCACUGCAUGAAGCUAUCUGGAUGAUAUGUGAUCACUGAAUAAUUUGCAAACAGCUACUGAGCAAGGGCCAAAAUAAAAUAGAGUUAUUGCUUAAUGACUCACAU